AACGAACGCUGGCGGCAGGCUUAACACAUGCAAGUCGAGCGCCCCGCAAGGGGAGCGGCAGACGGGUGAGUACCGCGUGGGAACGUACCUUUUGGUUCGGAACAACUCCGGGAAACUGGAGCUAAUACCGGAUAAGCCCUAACGGGGAAAGAUUUAUCGCCGAAAGAUCGGCCCGCGUCUGAUUAGCUAGUUGGUGAGGUAACGGCUCACCAAGGCGACGAUCAGUAGCUGGUCUGAGAGGAUGAUCAGCCACACUGGGACUGAGACACGGCCCAGACUCCUGAGGGAGGCAGCAGGGGGGAAUAUGGGACAAUGGGCGCAAGCCUGAGCCAGCCAUGCCGCGUAAGUGAUGAAGGCCUUAGGAUUGUAAAGCUCUUUUGUCCGGGAAGAUAAUGACGGUACCGGAAGAAUAAGCCCCGGCUAACUUCGU
rnacentral:rRNA from 1 species